rnacentral:rRNA from 1 species
CCUACGGGAGGCAGCAGUGAGGAAUAUUGGUCAAUGGACGAGAGUCUGAACCAGCCAAGUAGCGUGAAGGAUGACUGCCCUAUGGGUUGUAAACUUCUUUUAUAUGGGAAUAAAACGUUCCACGUGUGGGAUUUUGUAUGUACCAUAUGAAUAAGGAUCGGCUAACUCCGUGCCAGCAGCCGCGGUAAUACGGAGGAUCCGAGCGUUAUCCGGAUUUAUUGGGUUUAAAGGGAGCGUAGGUGGAUUGUUAAGUCAGUUGUGAAAGUUUGCGGCUCAACCGUAAAAUUGCAGUUGAGACUGGCAGUCUUGAGUACAGUAGAGGUGGGCGGAAUUCGUGGUGUAGCGGUGAAAUGCUUAGAUAUCACGAAGAACUCCGAUUGCGAAGGCAGUUCACUGGACUGCAACUGACACUGAGGCUCGAAAGUGUGGGUAUCAAACAGGAUUAGAUACCCCAGUAGUC